GCUAUCGCGACUCAGCGUCAUGCGACCUCUUUGCUUGAGUUGAAAAUAUUCAACUCACGUGAAUUCCUUCGCGUUGCCUUCGCGUAGCCAGCCCUGCCCCCUUCGCGCCGCCCGACAGGAAAUCGCGGCUCUACGCGUCUUUGCAUUGACUUUGUAUGUAAACUCACCGCUCCGAACGCUCCCUGCGCUUUUGGUCUGAAAGCACCAUUAGGCUACAGUAGCCUAUAUGUCUGCAUUUUUCCAGAUCUGUCCUCUCAAGUGUCUACCUAAGCGCUGAUUUUCCUCGAGCUACAAAGACAUUUCGGGCCUAAUUGAGGUGAGCAGACUGCUGUGCUCGUUCCGGGCACUGUCUUCCUCCCCAGAGCUGAAGAAACUAGUGACAGAAGUUCAGUUUGACAACAUGAAGAACAACAACAAUUGGAGGGGGCACAUUGAUUGUAUUUUCUAUGGCACGUACUGCUUUGCAGAGGGGACAACACUGCGGGUGCUGGAGGUGCCACCCUGGUCAUGAAUACAAGAGGUAACAGCGAGUACUGAUACAGUCAAAUCUUACGGUUUCAUUGGAAUGUAUACAACAACACAAGGCCAUUGUACUGGAAAUACUAAACAAGUCAAGCAUCUCACAUCACUGGGAGGUACUGCUAGUGACCCUGAGGUAACCGGAAAAGAAGUCAUGGACUGGCUCUCACCAGGAACAGAGGCAUAAAUUACAUUUUAUUCUGAAAUGAUCCAUAGUGGAAAAAUGUAAGACAGAGCAGAGGGCCACGGGGCUAUUUUCAGGAUCACCAAACAUAUUCAAGUUAACUCAAGUUGACUAAAUAUGGUUCUAUGUGAAGUGCUUUGUCUGUUUCUUUCCAAUACCUUUAUCAUAAUAU